rnacentral:sRNA from 1 species
UUAAUGUUGCAAUCCAAAGACAGCAGGUGGCUGUAUCAGCCGUAAGCAUUACGCCUGCCGAGGUAUGCGUUUAAAUAAUUAUGUUUAUUUAAGCCCGUCCUUUGUCUUUGGACGGGCUUUAUCUUAU